rnacentral:lncRNA from 1 species
UGGGUAAAGCAACUUAGUUCUCUUAAAGACACAGGACCAACAUGCAGGAGACUCAGACAGUUGUAGGUGCCUGAGAGUAACAGCAGCAAGCCAGCAACUCUCCAAAAGCAGUCGCUAAUUAAUAAGUGCAGGCACUCAGAAGCCUCGCUGUCCCCUCUCCGAAGACAGAUGGCAACGGCACCCUGGCCCUUCCUACCUAACUCCAGCUGCUCUUCCAUUUCUCUCAAUAAAGUGAAGAAAUUCCUUUUGAAUUUUUCUGUACAGAUUCUAACAGGAAAGAAAAAUGGGAGCUGGAUGAAGAGCUGAUUAUUCUAUAUA